AACGAACGCUGGCGGCAUGCCUAACACAUGCAAGUCGAACGAGACCUUCGGGUCUAGUGGCGCACGGGUGCGUAACGCGUGGGAACCUGCCCUUAGGUUCGGAAUAACUCCCCGAAAGGGGUGCUAAUACCGGAUAAUGUCUUCGGACCAAAGAUUUAUCGCCUUUGGAUGGGCCCGCGUUGGAUUAGCUAGUUGGUAGGGUAAAAGCCUACCAAGGCGACGAUCCAUAGCUGGUCUGAGAGGAUGAUCAGCCACACUGGGACUGAGACACGGCCCAGACUCCUACGGGAAGCAGCAGUGGGGAAUAUUGGACAAUGGGCGAAAGCCUGAUCCAGCAAUGCCGCGUGAGUGAUGAAGGCCUUAGGGUUGUAUAGCUCUUUUACCCGGGAUGAUAAUGACAGUACCGGGAGAAUAAGCUCCGGCUAACUCCGUG
rnacentral:rRNA from 1 species